AGCAGCCGCGGUAAUUCCAGCUCCAAUAGCGUAUAUUAAAGUUGUUGCAGUUAAAAAGCUCGUAGUUGAAUUUCGGGAUCAAUUAAUCGGUCGUGCCUCUGGUACGCACUGGUUUUAUUGGUUUCUCCCUUCUGACGAACCAGGAUGUCAUUAAUUUGGUGUCUUGGAGAAUCAGGACUGUUACUUUGAAAAAAUUAGAGUGUUUAAAGCAGGCUAACGCUUGAAUACAUUAGCAUGGAAUAAUGAAAUAGGACGUUUGAUCCUAUUUUGUUGGUUUCUAGGAUCGACGUAAUGAUUAAUAGGGAUAGUUGGGGGCAUUAGUAUUCAAUUGUCAGAGGUGAAAUUCUUGGAUUUAUUGAAGACUAACUACUGCGAAAGCAUUUGCCAAGGAUGUUUUCAUUAAUCAAGAACGAAAGUUAGGGGAUCGAAGACGAUCAGAUACCGUCGUAGUCUUAACCAUAAACUAUGCCGACUAGGGAUCGGAUGAUGUUAAUUUUUUAAUGACUC
rnacentral:rRNA from 1 species